GCUAACGGAAUAACAGAAAAUCAUUCCUCCUGCUUAGCGCUCAUCACGGAAUCUACCACAGAAUCGUCCAACAACACGUUCGAGGACUUGAGGUUGUCGUGAGGCGCCGCCACCUUGCUCCCGCUCUGGCGGUGGAGGUGCUCCAGCGCCCUCGCCACGCCUCGUGCGGCCGCCAGCCGCGAGCUCCAUCGGAACAGAGAUAGAGAAAAAGCCUAUCUUCACCCUUGGAGUGAUAGUAGGCGAGAAGAGGCAACAAAUUGGGGUGGUUGAGAGCAGCAAAAAAUUGGGGCCAUAGUUAUUAAUUUUUUUUUAAUUUCGAACGGAGUUAAGUCACUGUUCAAAUGCGGGGAGAAUUUGCUUCACUUUUGGCACGUUAGGGUAGCGAGCAGCGGCAUACCUGACUUUGGGGUGUUAAAGGCGAUAGGGUGCCAACGUUGGGGGGAGAGAAUUGGUACUUAACCUUUAUUUUAUUGUUCUUAUGACCUGUUCUGAGAGCUAUGAGCAACAUUAUUGGGAGUUGGGUCCAGUUUAGCAAUAAGCUUUUCGGUGUACUGAGAGUUUGAGAUCUUUUUAACUCUCUCACUGGUGAACUCUUACCCAAUAGGUAGAAGUGUCACAACAAUUGGAACUGUAGGUAACGAUUUUGUGCAAGUCAUGGUUGCCGCUAAAUCAGUACUUCAGAAGCCAAUCCCAGAGGAGCUUAAGAGAUUGGUGGCAUAUGCAGCAAGCAAUGCAAAUUUUUUCGACCAACAUCAUUAUGAAGAAUCAACUUGAUUCUUAUGGAUGGGAAUGAAUGGAUAUGCACCUGCUGAGUUUGACGAUGGGGGCUA